ACAUUUCCCUAAUACAAUGUAAUACAAAGUUAAAUAAAAUAUAGGCUAUCAAGUGGCAGGUUACAGGUAGUUUUACAUUAAUUUAGAAACAAAGCAUAAUAUUCUCCUUCAUAUUCAAGUUCAAAGGUCAAAACUGAAGUUACAAAUCUGAUAGGUUUUCUUUCAUCUGCUCAGUUAUUCAAAGUGCAAAAAGUGUUUUAACCCCAUUAGGAGUUAAAUCCCCAUUCAAAAAAAAGCUGAAAAAGCAGGUAACUGCAAACCCACCAGCAAAGCAGCAGUCAUUACCUGAAGAAUCAGUAGGUUUUCAGUAUUGUCAGGAUAGCAAUACCAAUGCAAAUAACAUGUAUUUGCAAAGAACACAAGAAUCCAAAGGGAAAUGUACACAUUACACAAUUUAAGGGACAAGUAUCUCCAACAAUUUAAAACAUUUUCAAGAGAUAACCUAAAAAAUUACAUUUUUCAUCUGCUAAUAAAAUACUCCACUAGGUAACAGAAAAUUAUUUUUAAAAAAAAUUAAGAUCAUCUUUAUGUGUUGAGACUUGUAAAAGACAAGUAACACAGCAUGAGAGUAAUGACUACAUGGGUCAGAUAUAAAGCAUUUUCCAAUUACAAACCACAAAAUUUAUUACAUGGAUUUUUUUUUCUGUAAUUAUAGUUAUUUUGCAUUACUGAUAUGGAAAUUUUCCAUGUAGCCUCUCAAAAGUAACAGGGCUGCUUUAAUAAUCAUAGGUUUCCUUCACACACAGUUUGCAAUAUUAGCAACCAGAUAACUACUGUGUUCAGGGAAAAGAGAACUUAACACACCUACAUUUUUACAGCUCCAAUAGAAAUUAACCCAUUACAUGCAAAAAUUAACAAAGGUUCAGGACCACUUUCAGCUUAAAUUGCAAAUAAGGAAAACAGUUUACUAGAAAGGACAGAUAAUUAAAAAUGAAAAUCACUUAAAUGCUCCUAGUAUUGUUGAAGAGAGAAAAUAAAGUAUUGACAUAUUGAUUAAGGUUGUCCUAAAACACAGAAAUAAACAUUCAGUACAUA